AUCCACACGUCUCACUUCAUUUCAGUCAGAUUUUCAGUCAGUAACAAUGUGUGGUUGAGUGUGGUCGUGAGCAACGUUAUUUGGUGAACAGUUUUUUUUUGGAAAAUUCCUACUGCUUUAUUUGCCCCAUCACGUAUGUUCUCAAAAUCUGAAGAAAUUGACGAUUAGAAUGUGUCUGGGUGCAAAAUAAUCAAAAUCAAUUACAUAAUCCCAACGUGCACCAAUCCCACCGACCAAGAUGUCUAUGAACUACAUCGGCCGGGUGUUAAAUAACUUUAAGGAAUUUUACAAUGAAAUCAAUGGCGCUACACUCACCGGCGCAAUCGAUGUCGUCGUCGUUGAGCUGCCGGAUGGCACGUUCAACUGCUCGCCGUUUCACGUACGCUUUGGCAAGAUUGGCGUGCUUCGAAGCCGAGAAAAAGUGGUCGAUAUCGAGAUCAACGGAGAACCUCAAGAUAUACAUAUGAAACUAGGUGAAAGUGGCGAAGCGUUUUUCGUCGAGGAGGUGCUCGACUCUGACAAUGAGGACAUCCCCGAACAUUUGGCAACUUCGCCAAUUCCGGUUUCGCAUUUUGAAGAACUCUAUAAUUCGCAGGGACGCCGUCGCAAUAGUUUUGAUCUUGGUGAUAAAAAACCUGUGCAGAGCAUCAUUGAUAUUGAAAACUUGGAGAAUCAAGCCAACGAUUACAGCAAACGUCGCUAUACUGCCGACAAUGAUAAUGAGAAGAAGCGCGGUCGGGACUUUAUCAAGCGCCAAAUUGGUUUGGGAAAUUUAGAUUGGGCAGAAGCUUCCAUGGAAGACUUGACUUUGUCUCUACAAUCUAAUACCAAAGGGAGUGCGGAUGAUCUCACGCAGAAGGAUGAAGUUUCCGAUACUAUUUUUAAGAUGGACAGUCUUGAUGGCGAGAAAACUCAACCGUCAACACCGAAAGAAGAAGGAAUAACUGGUACUCCUGUAGUACCAACUGUUCUCACUACACCUGCACCUGUAGUGACACCCAAGAAUGAAGAUACUUCUAACGAAUCAAAGAGUAGCAAGAAGAAGCGCAGAAAGAAAAGUGUUAUGAAGAAGAAGAAUUCUCAGCGUAAAGUUUCAUCUGUCGAACAGCCUACUAUGGACGCACCGGAAUUGCAGCUUGAACCUAAAGGUAACGACUCAAACACAGAUCGCAGUUCGAUGGAAAGCAGCCCGUCUGAGACGGAUCUAAAAGAAGGCAGCAAGGCGGAGGAAAAUACUGUUUCGACCAGCUCCAACACCAGCCGCAAAGUUCCUAUGGAUCCAGAUUUUCACUUUUUCAGUGACACCGAGCUCACUACCAAUCCGGCUGAUUCAAGGCCUAAUACUCCGAUUCACGUCGAAUCUGUACAGUCUGAUACUGAAUUUGAAGUACAGAAAAGUAAAGAAGAUGGCAAGGCGCCGACAUCAAAUCCAAGCCAAAGCUGGGCCUGGGGUGAAUUCCCUAAGAAUAUGACUCAACAAAUGUCGCCGACAACGGAAAAUGCCGGCGAUGUCGACCCCAAUCAGGAUCAACAGUCGAUGUUGAGUCACGUGUUUUCAUUUAUGAAACAAAACAAGCAUCGACAUCGCAACAGCAAAACCGACGGUGUUUACCUUGCUGAUAUCAGCUCGGGCGCGAUUGAGCCGGAAGUCGCUUCGCUGUACUUUACUACAAAUAACUACAAGCGUAACACAGAUGCAGACAUGGAUUGUGAAUCAGGGAAUGGACCAUCAUUAACGCAGAGUCCUAACAGCGCCGAGGGUUCCAAAUCGAUUGACUCUGAUUUUGACGAACAAAACAAACUUGCUCAAUCGUAUAUGCAUGAUAUUUCCAUUUCGAUGUGUGGAUGGGAUCCUGAACCGACCGAUGACAACUUUAUUCGUCAUGUAGUGGCCUUCAGCGAUCUUUGCAACAAUCCGUCAUUGUUCGAGUCGGAGAGUCUUGUGGUGCGGAUCAAGAAGAAGUACUACACAUGGAAAGUUGCAGCGCCGAUCAUUUCUAGUCUCAUUAUUUAUCAACGACCCCUGCCUCAAUCCACCGUUGAGCAAUUGGUGAAUAUUCAUAUGCCAGUUAACAAUAACAACAAUCCUACGCCUGAAAAAGAGCCGAAAACAGAACAGCGGUCGUAUUGGUGGAGUUGGCGACGUGGUCGUAAUUCUAGGGAAACCACUCCAGUUACUGAGACAGCGGAUAAGCUGCCUGAACUGGAAUCAAUCAAAGUGGAGGAGGCGCCUGCAACGAAAACCGAAGCUAUCGCAACUACUAUGACUCCUAUCGAUAGUAGUAAAGAUUCUGGUUGUGAAGAAAAAGGAUUGUCUGAUUCACCUGAGUCAAACAUGUGUGGUCUUGGCGAGAAGUGCCGCAAGACUUUGAGAUUAAGUUCCAACCAAAUUGCAAAGUUAAAUCUGAGAGCCGGUAUGAACGAAGUGGAAUUUUCGGUUACCACUGCAUACCAAGGAACGACCAGAUGCAAGUGUCACAUUUAUCGCUGGAAGUGGGAUGAUAAAAUUGUCAUUUCCGAUAUUGAUGGCACAAUUACCAAGUCAGACGUCUUGGGACACAUUUUGCCGAUUGUUGGAGCUGAUUGGGCUCAGACUGGAGUUGCGCAACUCUUCAAUAAGAUCAAAGACAACGGUUAUAAAUUGUUGUAUUUGUCAGCCCGUGCAAUUGGCCAAGCACGCACUACGCGUGACUACCUCAAAUCUAUCAAGCAAGGUGAUCUAUAUAUGCCGGACGGUCCUGUGUUACUGAAUCCGACAUCGCUGAUCACCGCCUUUCAUCGCGAAGUAAUUGAAAAGAAACCGGAACGGUUUAAGAUUUCGUGCAUGAGUGAUAUUAAGGCUCUCUUUCCGCCGGACUCUGAUCCGUUUUAUGCUGGAUAUGGAAAUCGAAUUAAUGAUGUUUGGGCUUACACCGCUGUUGGCAUUCCAAUUGUGCGCAUUUUCACGAUAAACUCGAAGGGAGAGCUCAAACAUGAGUUGACUCAGACUUUCCAAUCAAGUUAUUCCGGCCAAUCGUUGGUUGUCAAUGACGUAUUUCCACCAAUCUUUAAUAAAAUUUUCUCAAUUGACAUUGACGAUGACGAGAUUGACGAUACAGACUCGUCGUCUGACUAGUUAAUGAGUUUAAACGAAAUUUUGAACAAAACGUGAUCGCGAAACAUUGAUCAAUUGCAUUUAUAAAUUACAAAAUAUGCAAUUGCAAUGUAUUAAACUUAGCUGUGAUGAUCGAAACUGAUAUAUUGUUAAUGUUAUUACGCGUAGAUAAUUUUACAAGAUGACAUAAAAAGUUUUACUUCUUUUUAACUUGUGCAAACUUGUUUGUAGUCAUCUUUUGUUAUAAGCUAACAAAAAGCACUAGUCAUGUGAACAAAGUAUCAAGCAUAAAAUAAAUUGAUAUUUUUGAUAGUAAUGUUUUAAUAUAAUAUUAGCUGAUAUUUGCCAUGACCACUGUGUUAGCAUGGGAAACAAAUGGAACAUUUGCAAUAAGAUCAUAUCAUUAUAUUAAUUAAGCAUGUUUGACUGAUUUGUUUUAUGUGCAACUUUAAGUUCUUGUUUUAUGUGCAUCUUUAAGUGCUUGUUUUAUGUGCAUCUUUUAGUGCUUGUAUUAUAUUUAAAUAACUAACAUGUGGUGGCGGCUAGCAUUCGUGUAGGCAAAUGUUCCUUUUAUUUCAUGUUCGAUAAUUGUAAUGUAAAACAAAGUAGAUAUUUUGGCAAACUAUAAAAAUAAUCAACGAAACCCACAAUGCUCUGCAAUAUUCUGCACGUCCACACAAGCAACGCAUUUGUUUGAAUCGUUAUGCGAACAUGAGCGUCAUUGUCGAUCAACUCUUUCCACAUGUUCGUGAUCCUGCAAAUGACUACUCUACGUUUAUUUACUGGCGUGCACCAAUGCCAAUUGUCGAUGAUUUGCCGGCGCUCUAAAUAGGGAAAUGUUGUCGUCGGUGAAUUGCGGGGCGCAUUUACUAAAUUAACGUCGCAUUAUUCAAUAUUAAAAAGAAGAAAUUUCAUUCGUAACUUAUUCAAAAUGAAAAGCUAAAGUGUGUAACUUUCAAAUUAAACAUAUUGGUGUCUCUUGCUGACUAAACAAUACUAUUGCAAGUUGCGUAGUUACAUUUAAAAUUUGCAAGUUUUAAUACACGCUAAGUUCACUGCUCUAGAAUGGCUUUUAUGCUACGUACUUUGCAUAAUAAACUUGCAUCCAUUAGACUCAUUCGAUUGAUAAAGCUGAAGUUCUUUGAUUAAUUUCUGUAGUUGUGAUUUGUUAAUUUAACAAUUUUAGAGUGGUUAGUCUAUUUUAGUGCUACGUAUAUUACCAAUUGUUUAAGAUACCAAUUUGUUUGUAGGAAAACGUAAUGUUUAUUGGUAGUUUUUAGAAUGUGUUAGAUGAAUUGUAAAUUCACGAUUAUUGAAUUGAAAAGGCUGUUGGUAUUGUGAUAAUAACUACCAAUGCAUUGGAUUCCAUAAUACUGUUAGUUUUUUUUGUUAGAUAUAUAUUUUUGUAUUUGGAAACAUAAUAAUCAAUUAUUUCUUUGUGAUAUUUAUUUUUAAGUAGAUCAAUUUCAGUCUGUGUGUUUUCCUAAUUUUUACGUGUACGCUAUUGUUUGAUGCGAAAAAUACAUUUAUGUAUGCAAUGAAAUGGUAUGAUAAAAAAUAUAGAAAUAGCAACUGAUAUAAA